AGCAGCCCCGCAGGUUGGUCCAGCGGCAAGGGUCACACGCCCCACAGCCCAGCACCCCCUGGGCGGCCGACCCCGCCAGGAGCUCGGCUCUGGGCCGGGUGCUUCCGCCCCUCAGGUCCUCCCCACAGCUCCACCGGGCAAAUCCUUAACUUCACAGGCAGCCCUGGGAGGGGCAGCUGGGCUUGGACCACGUGUCUCUGAAUCCGAAGGCGUCCCUCCACAGUGCUCACAAAUCUGCAGUGUGAUCUGCAGUGUGAGGAGUGUAAGGGACCGAACAACACAGAAGCAGGAUCACUUCCACCCGGGAAGGUCUGAGACGAGGUCCGGGGAGAUGUCAGGGCUCUGAGGAUGGAUGGAAGGGCUCCUUUAAAAGGACUUCAGUCAGAGUGGCACGGCAUUGCAGGUGGCGGGAACAACCCGCAGCGAGGUGAAGCCUGAGCCGCACUUGUGCUCCUUGGGGGUGGGGAGCAGCUCACAGCCCCGCGGGAGACACACAGGACGCAGGCGACUGGAGGGCUGGGGCAGAGGAGGUGAGCGCGGGCUCCUGCGAGCACUCGGGGAGGGGCUCUUAACUCGAACCAGAACCAACUGUCUCAAUUUAUCAGAAUUCCAAAUGCCAGUGAUUUUCCUUUUUUUCAACAAUAAGACAAUGCAGUCGUCAGAAUUCUUAGUUGUGAUAAGAGCCCAAUUUGAACAGGGGCCAUUGAAUGACAGGUUUGGGGGAGCUUCCUAGUUGGAGGGGAGCCAUCAGCCUGGGCUGCAGCUCUCAGCCCUGGCAGCCAGGCAGAGAAGGAGAAGAAUGGAUGAUCAGGUGAGAAAGUCUACAAUGUGUGACACUUGAGAAGGCGAGGCCACCCCUGGGGUUGAUACCCAUCUUUCUUCAUACCUUGGUGGGGUUUUUGUUUUUUGUUUUAGGAUUAGGGGGCUUAGCUCUCUUACUCUCAAGAGUAAAUAGUACAGGCAGGAUCUGAAUCUAGAGAGAAUUCUUGACAGAAUUCUCACUUUCAAAAGAUGCUAUUCAGAGAUUCUUUUACUUACAACAAAUUGGGAGAAUUAAUAAAAGUUCUCAACACACAAAAAAUAAAAUACUUGAAAUAUCUGAGCAUUUCAAAAACUAGCAGCUCUUUGCAUUAUCUUAGGAGAACAGAUUGGUGUGAGAACACAAUUUAAUAAAAUAUGGGACAAGAGCUUUAAAAAAUAUUUCGGUAGUAUCAAUAAUAUAAUGAUCCAGGGAUUUAAGAAGUUCAUACAUGUAAUAAGAAUGAUACAAAUUAUUUGAGAACCUUAACAGAGAAUUACCCAAAUUAUUAACUCAGGUGAUUUCUAUUUUCCAAAGCUGACAUUUGUCCAACAGUUUGAAGAGUCGAGGAAAAUGAACACGACUAAAGUAUAUCUAUACGCUUCUACAAAUUUGAAUUCCCUGAAUACCUGGAGGAUUGCCAGCUAAUAAUGCCAAUAUUCUGUUUGCAGCCAGGGUCUUCUCUUUUUACAAGAUUCAGAGAACAAUUAAGAUGGAGGAAAAGAAAAAUAGAGUGAUUAAUAUGUUGAAGACAGAGUGUUAAGAGGAUGGACAGCUACCAGCAAGGUUAAGAUGUCCAUACCCGUCAGUGGAUGUAGUUGAUAUGGGGAAACAGUAAAAAAAAAAAAUGACAUCCCCUCCCAGAUUCCAAAAAAGUGAUUGUGGCUCCUAUAAAGAUCCUAAGGAUAGAACCAGAGAUGAGACUUCCUUUUGAACUGUAUACUCAUUCCUGGUCAUUUUUGUUAGUCAAUGCAAAACCCAUUUUAUUUUUUAAUGCUAAGUUCAUUUAGUUUCUGUUUUCACUGAUGCUGUAUACAGAAUGGGAAAACAAAAUUCAGGUGCUAGCACUGUCAAGACCUUUUUAAAGGAGCAUUAUUUACCUUAUGAAAGUAAUUCAUUGGCUUCAAAAUAAGAACAUCAAUUUUCUUUUUACUUGUCAGAAUCUUCUAAAAGUCAUUCAAGUAACUUGCAAAAGCUGAUAAAGUUAUUAACACAAAAUGAACAUGGGGCAGUUCCAAUAAGCGUGCUAAGCAUGCCGAGAUUAACUGCACAAAAAGUACUGUUUCAAUUAUUAAGGCCACUAGGACCUCAGUCAAGGGCAACAUCUAGCAGUGCUUAUCUAUACUUUUAAGAAUACAGUAACUAUAUAAUGCCUGUUUAUGAAUUAUUCCUAUGUGUUUAUUCAAUUUGUUUUCUCAAAAAUUUCACAGGGCUUUUAAAAAAGAGAAGACUCCAAAAGGGGGUCAUAGAGGAAUGAGCUCUGUGAUCAAUAUAACAAAGCAGGAGUAAAAAUACGAAUGUCGAAGGCCAAUAGAAUGAAGAUGGGAAGAUACUAAGCAUCAUAAAAGACCUGCUGUUAAUUAGAAGUAGCUAUUUCAUGUUUUUACAUAGACAUAUGGAUUAGAACAAUAGGAAGCCAUGCAAGUAGAGCUGACAAAGAGGCCAGGCUUUCUCAAAGGCAGCAUAAGGUCAAGGGUAUGAAUUUUGGAGCCUAGCAGAAGAGGAUACUUUGAGCCACAGCUCUGCUACUUAACUAGCUGACAAGGUACUCUUGCUAUGGUUUGGCUGGUUUCCUAUUUUAUCAAAUAGGCAUAACAUACCUACAAGUCACAAGGUUAAGAGAUAAUAUAUGUAAGAUAUCAGUACAAUGCUUGGCAUAUCAGAAGCACUAAAUAAAUGGUAGUUACUAUUACUACUUUUCUUUAAGUAUCUUAAUACUAAAGAUAAUGGUGGGCUCAGAUCUUCUGCUUUUCCCUAAUUUUUAAAGCAAGCUAGUAUGAGCAAAGAAUCAGGGACUAUAUUUGGGUCCUUAAAAGAUGAAAACAACCAUUAACAACCAAAGGCAUAAGCAAGUCUUUUUUUCCACAACAAAUUACCACCCCACUGGAAAGAUCUUCUGCAGUGGCAAUCCCUUCUACUUUACUAGUAAGUACUUAUUUUGUUUUAAACAUUUCUGAAAUGAAAUUUACUUCAAAACUUAUUUACA